CGGCUCUUGAGAAGACAAGACUUGGACCAGGCACUAGGAAUGAAUGGCAGGAACGGAAGUAAUUCUUGUCUAGCUAGUGCUACCAUUACAACAUCUGAUGCUGGCUGCGAUUAGAGGGAAAGAGAUGCAGCAUCUUUGUCUUUCAUUCGAGAAUUUGGAAGCGUCAACAUUUUAAGGUGGAACAUUCUCUACUGUUGAAGAUCCUGGUUGCUGUGCACACGAUGUACUCUCAGAUGCUUAUGGGCCAGUUAACAUGAUCAACUCACACACGACUGCUACCAAAAGCUCUACCGCAUAGUGGUGUUCAAUGUAAAUAAAGUAAUAUGUAAACAUUACUUAUUCCAAGUUUAGGGAGGGGGCCAUAGCUCAGUGGUAGAGCAUCUGCCUUGCAUGCGGAAAGUCAACCAUGCUAUCCUUCUGGGCCGCCUCUCCAGAUUGGGGCUUGGGGGCACCAUGAAACAAUGGCUCAGGUACUAUCUUGGAGAUCAUGCCAGAAGAUGGUGCUGGGGAAUGCCUGUUCUACCCCAAGGAUGCUCGUGGGUACUAAUCACUUCUUGAGAAUUGCACCCAUCCUGCGGCACCUUCACUGGAUGCCAAUUUGCUCCUGAGCCAGAUUCAAAGUGCUGGUUUUGACCUCUAAAGCCCUACAGAGAUUGGGGUUUCUGUUGCACUGAAUUCACCAUACGAAUCUGUCAGGGCUCUUCACUCAUCAUCUCGAGCCCUGCUCAUGGCCCUACCAUUGACUGAGACUAGGUAGGCAAGGUCAAGAGACUGGGCCUUCUCAGUCGUGGUCCUUGGCUCUACAAUGCCCUCUCAGAAAAGCUUCACCAUGCUCCCUCCUUUAGGGUUAUAUAUAUAAAGAUCUUGAAGCCUACUUGUUUAGAGAAGCUAUUUAAUGUUGUUUUUUUACUACAGUUUGAUGAGUUUUCAACUUUUAAUUGGAUCUGUUUUAACUGAUUUUAUUCUACGUUGUGUUAUUUGUUUUGUUUUUCAUUUUAUAUUACGUUUAUUGCUUUACUGUUGUGAGCUAUCUUAAGCAGUAUUGUACUGGAGGGGCAGGAUAUAAAUAUUUUAAGGAAUAAACAAUAACAACCACCACCUUUUGCCCCCAUGCUGGUUCCUGAAUUAAAUUAUCCGUUCCAAAGCAAAUGGU